rnacentral:rRNA from 1 species
AACGAACGCUGGCGGCAGGCUUAACACAUGCAAGUCGAGCGCCCCGCAAGGGGAGCGGCAGACGGGUGAGUAACGCGUGGGAAUCUACCCAUCCCUACGGAAUAACGCAUGGAAACGUGUGCUAAUACCGUAUACGUCCUUCGGGAGAAAGAUUUAUCGGAGAUGGAUGAGCCCGCGUUGGAUUAGCUAGUUGGUGGGGUAAAGGCCUACCAAGGCGACGAUCCAUAGAUGGUCCGAGAGGAUGAUCAGACACACUGGAACUGAGACACGGCCCAGACUCCUACGGGAGGCAGCAGUGGGGAAUAUUGGACAAUGGGCGCAAGCCUGAUCCAGCCAUGCCGCGUGAGUGAUGAAGGCCCUAGGGUUGUAAAGCUCUUUCACCGGUGAAGAUAAUGACGGUAACCGGAGAAGAAGCCCCGGCUAACUUCGUGCCAGCAGCCGCCGUAAAAC